rnacentral:rRNA from 1 species
UAAAUGCAGUCGAACGAUGAACCGCUUUCGGGCGGGGAUUAGUGGCGAACGGGUGAGUAACACGUGGGCAAUCUGCCCUGCACUCUGGGACAAGCCCUGGAAACGGGGUCUAAUACCGGAUACUCACUGCCUUGGGCAUCCUUGGUGGUGGAAAGCUCCGGCGGUGCAGGAUGAGCCCGCGGCCUAUCAGCUAGUUGGUGAGGUAAUGGCUCACCAAGGCGACGACGGGUAGCCGGCCUGAGAGGGCGACCGGCCACACUGGGACUGAGACACGGCCCAGACUCCUACGGGAGGCAGCAGUGGGGAAUAUUGCACAAUGGGCGAAAGCCUGAUGCAGCGACGCCGCGUGAGGGAUGACGGCCUUCGGGUUGUAAACCUCUUUCAGCAGGGAAGAAGCGAGAGUGACGGUACCUGCAGAAGAAGCGCCGGCUAACUACGUGCCAGCAGCCGCGGUAAUACGUAGGGCGCAAGCGUUGUCCGGAAUUAUUGGGCGUAAAGAGCUCGUAGGCGGCUUGUCACGUCGGUUGUGAAAGCCCGGGGCUUAACCCCGGGUCUGCAGUCGAUACGGGCAGGCUAGAGUUCGGUAGGGGAGAUCGGAAUUCCUGGUGUAGCGGUGAAAUGCGCAGAUAUCAGGAGGAACACCGGUGGCGAAGGCGGAUCUCUGGGCCGAUACUGACGCUGAGGAGCGAAAGCGUGGGGAGCGAACAGGAUUAGAUACCCUGGUAGUCCACGCCGUAAACGGUGGGCACUAGGUGUGGGCAACAUUCCACGUUGUCCGUGCCGCAGCUAACGCAUUAAGUGCCCCGCCUGGGG